UGGGGAAUUUUGGACAAUGGGGGAAACCCUGAUCCAGCCAUCCCGCGUGUGCGAUGAAGGCCUUCGGGUUGUAAAGCACUUUUGGCAGGAAAGAAACGUCAUGGGUUAAUACCCCGUGAAACUGACGGUACCUGCAGAAUAAGCACCGGCUAACUACGUGCCAGCAGCCGCGUUAAUACGUAGGGUGCAAGCGUUAAUCGGAAUUACUGGGCGUAAAGCGUGCGCAGGCGGUUCGGAAAGAAAGAUGUGAAAUCCCAGAGCUCAACUUUGGAACUGCAUUUUUAACUACCGGGCUAGAGUGUGUCAGAGGGAGGUGGAAUUCCGCGUGUAGCAGUGAAAUGCGUAGAUAUGCGGAGGAACACCGAUGGCGAAGGCAGCCUCCUGGGAUAACACUGACGCUCAUGCACGAAAGCGUGGGGAGCAAACAGG
rnacentral:rRNA from 1 species